UGGGAAAACUUGAGUAAUAUUUAGAGUCAAUUUUUUCUGUUAAAACGAUUUAUUUAUUUCAACGCUUAUAUUAAAAAUUUGCAUUAACAAUGUUUAUCGAAUAUAAUUUUAUGGGUAAUUCUUUUCAUUCAAUAUAUGUUUAAGUGCACUUAGUUUUGAUUAUUUGUGUGUGUAGAGUGGAUAUCCAAGAUUCUGUCAGUUAUAGCUUUUCUCUAAAAAUAGGAUGUGACAUCAAUGGGAGGAGAAUUUAAUGAUGAUAUGUCGUAAAUCUGCAUAGGAGUUAUAGACAUCGAGAUAGAUAUAGAUGCGUUCAUUUUGUAUUGUUACAUUAUCCACCAGUGGCGUUUAAGUCUGUUUCUAGGUUUUAACUCUGGAUGCUAUAAAAGAUUUUUGUGAACGGAGGACAAAGUCGGGAAGCAUGUCAACGGAAGAUUUUGAAAUGGAAGCCAAAGUUUGUGUGCAAUUGAACUGCUCAUAGUAGAACCGCACAUAAUUAUCAACGGAUCAUAUCUUUCGAUUUAAAAUUUUGUUUAAGUUGCCUUGGAAACUAAGCCAAUGUGAUAAUGACCAAUUGUUAUCUUUCAUAUUAAGAAGCAAGGGGAUCUACACAAUCUCAAUUCACGCUACUGAUAGUCGACGGAGUCGCUGUCCAGCAACGUCGAGGACACUUCCGAGAUGCGUCUAUGCCAGUAGUCCUGAUACCGCGAUUCGGGUUGUGCAGCAGAGCGCCACGGUGGCCAUUUCAGCUAUUCCUCAACAAUGUCCCACACCAUGAGCGAAGCGUCUGUUCCGCCCACAGUGAUGAGCGUGUGAUCCCCGCACAGGAAACGCACGCAGGCCAGCAUGCCGGAGUAAACCUUGCACUCGUGAAACUCGGCGCGCGGUGAGAUGCACGGAUAUCUGUUAAAGCCAAUUGAUUACAGAUUAUCACAUA